AUUGAACGCUGGCGGCAUGCCUUACACAUGCAAGUCGAACGGUAACAGGUUAAGCUGACGAGUGGCGAACGGGUGAGUAAUAUAUCGGAACGUGCCCAGUCGUGGGGGAUAACGCAGCGAAAGCUGUGCUAAUACCGCAUACGAUCUAUGGAUGAAAGCGGGGGAUCGCAAGACCUCGCGCGAUUGGAGCGGCCGAUAUCAGAUUAGCUAGUUGGGGGGGUAAAGGACCACCAAGGCGACGAUCUGUAGCUGGUCUGAGCGGACGACCAGCCACACUGGGACUGAGACACGGUCCAGACUCCUACGGGAGGAAGCAGUGGGGAAUGUUGGACAAUGGGCGCAAGCCUGAUCCAGCAAUGCCGCGUGCAGGACGAAGGCCUUCGGGUUGUAAACUGCUUUUGUACGGAACGAAACGGUUCUCGCUAAUACAGGGGGCUAAUGACGGUACCGUAAGAAUAAGCACCGGCUAACUACGUGCCAGCCGCCGCAGUAAAAC
rnacentral:rRNA from 1 species